UUUAUCUCUUGAACCAAUCCUUUACCAAAAGAUUGUGUACCAACUAAUACUGCCCUUUUAUUAUCCUUUAAAGCUCCUGAAAAAAUUUCACUUGCUGAUGCUGAACCUUUGUUUAAAAGAACAACAACAGGUUUGGUAGUUAAAACUCCACGAGAAGCUUUUUGUGUUUCUUUAUAUCCAUCUCUAUCAACAGUGCUAACAAUAUCUCCACCAUCUAAGAACAUAUCGGAAAUAUAAAUAGCAUUACUCAAUAAACCUCCAGGAUUUGAACG
rnacentral:ncRNA from 1 species